rnacentral:piRNA from 1 species
UCAGAAGUAAAGCGGGAAGAAAGAG